CAGUAGGAAUAGAAAGGGGCAGGAAACCAUAGGAUCUAUCCCUUCCUUCUGAAACAUCAUGACCACACACCAUGCAGGCUGAAGGAUCCCUCUUGUUGCCAGAAGGACAAGGCCACAGAGUGAGGGUUCCUUUCUUCUUGUCUUGGGGCAUCUGAGAUCCUUCCUGUCCUCUAGGCACAGAGACCUUUUUUGGGGGAGAGCUGCAUAAACACCCUGGUCUAAGUCAGGGUGAUAAGUGCAUCAGAAGAGCUUAAAACUCAGUCCUGAGAGGAUAAAGGAGGGCACCUUAUGAAGCUGAGCCCCAUGUCAGCAGGGCACCAAGACAGACUCUAAGGAGAGGCCUUCUGACCUGAGAGUUCGUGGAGCCCUGGAGCGGAGGUGACAAAGAGCUCCAGCAAGAAAGGUGAGAUCUGGGAUGCUGCUCUGAGAUCCCUUCUCCCUCCAGCCUACUUGGGCCCAGUCGCCGGGAUAGUGGCCUCGCCCUCCCCUCCCUGUGCCACCAUGAGCUCCAGCAAGGAAGCACCAUCUUCCUAUCACAGAACAUCUGCCCUCCAAGGACUCUCAAGUAGCCAAGAACUUCAAGAACAAAACAAAACUGAAUAUAGUGCCUGUUUAUACUGAAAAAGAAGCCAUCAAGUGGAAGGAAGCUUAAUA